rnacentral:rRNA from 1 species
GACGAACGCUGGCGGCGUGCUUAACACAUGCAAGUCGAACGGAAAGGCCCUGCUUUUGUGGGGUGCUCGAGUGGCGAACGGGUGAGUAACACGUGAGUAACCUGCCCUUGACUUUGGGAUAACUUCAGGAAACUGGGGCUAAUACCGGAUAGGAGCUCCUGCUGCAUGGUGGGGGUUGGAAAGUUUCGGCGGUUGGGGAUGGACUCGCGGCUUAUCAGCUUGUUGGUGGGGUAGUGGCUUACCAAGGCUGUGACGGGUAGCCGGCCUGAGAGGGUGACCGGCCACAUUGGGACUGGGAUACGGCCCAGACUCCUACGGGAGGCAGCAGUGGGGAAUAUUGCACAAUGGGCGGAAGCCUGAUGCAGCAACGCCGCGUGCGGGAUGACGGCCUUCGGGUUGUAAACCGCUUUCGCCUGUGACGAAGCGUGAGUGACGGUAAUGGGUAAAGAAGCACCGGCUAACUACGU